rnacentral:rRNA from 1 species
AAGGAUCAUUACUGAGACUGGGUGCUUCGGCGCCCGACCUCCAACCCCCUGUCUACCUUACCACUGUUGCCUCGGCGUCUCCGUCCGCCUCCUCCUCGCGGGGGGGUGCGGGGGGGGUGCGCCGGCGGCCAAAACAACGAAACCCUUCUUCAAACCAAGCAAUCUGAGAAAUUAUUUUAAUAACUUCAAAACUUUCAACAACGGAUCUCUUGGUUCUGGCAUCGAUGAAGAACGCAGCGAAAUGCGAUAAGUAAUGUGAAUUGCAGAAUUCAGUGAAUCAUCGAAUCUUUGAACGCACAUUGCGCCCUCUGGUAUUCCGGAGGGCAUGCCUGUUCGAGCGUCAUUAUCAACCAUCAAGCUCUGCUUGGAAUUGAGCGUCACCCCCCCUCUCCGGGGUGGGCGCGCUUCAAACCGGUCGGCGGUGGCUCAGGCCUCUUAAGCGUUAGUAAUACUUCCCGCUUCUGGAGACUGUGGUCGCCCGCCUCCAAAACCCAAUACCUCAAGGUUGACCUCGGAUCAGGUAGGGAUACCCGCUGAACUUAA